GACGAACGCUGGCGGCGUGCUUAACACAUGCCAGUCGAACGGAAAGGCCCCUUUGGGGGUACUCGAGUGGCGAACGGGUGAGUAACACGUGAGUAACCUGCCCUUGACUUCGGGAUAACUUCAGGAAACUGGGGCUAAUACCGGAUAGGAAUCCUUGCUGCAUGGUGGGGGUUGGAAAGCUUCGGCGGUUUUGGAUGGACUCGCGGCUUAUCAGCUUGUUGGUGGGGUAGUGGCUUACCAAGGCUUUGACGGGUAGCCGGCCUGAGAGGGCGACCGGCCACAGUGGGACUGAGAUACGGCCCAGACUCCUACGGGAGGCAGCAGUGGGGAAUAUUGCACAAUGGGCGGAAGCCUGAUGCAGCAACGCCGCGUGCGGGAGGACGGCCUUCGGGUUGUAAACCGCUUUCAGCAGGGGCGAAGCUUGUGGUGACGGUACCUGCAGAAGAAGCACCGGCUAACUACGUG
rnacentral:rRNA from 1 species